rnacentral:snRNA from 1 species
AUCUUUGCGCAGAGGCGGUAACGUACCCAAUGAGGUUUAACCGAGGGGCGUUUAUUGCUAGUUGAAAACUA